rnacentral:rRNA from 1 species
CAGGCCUAACACAUGCAAGUCGAACGGUAACAGGAAGCAGCUUGCUGCUUUGCUGACGAGUGGCGGACGGGUGAGUAAUGUCUGGGAAACUGCCUGAUGGGGGGGGAUAACUACUGGAAACGGUAGCUAAUACCGCAUAACGUCGCAAGACCAAAGAGGGGGACCUUCGGGCCUCUUGCCAUCGGAUGUGCCCAGAUGGGAUUAGCUAGUAGGUGGGGUAACGGCUCACCUAGGCGACGAUCCCUAGCUGGUCUGAGAGGAUGACCAGCCACACUGGAACUGAGACACGGUCCAGACUCCUACGGGAGGCAGCAGUGGGGAAUAUUGCACAAUGGGCGCAAGCCUGAUGCAGCCAUGCCGCGUGUAUGAAGAAGGCCUUCGGGUUGUAAAGUACUUUCAGCGGGGAGGAAGGUGUUGAGGUUAAUAACCUCAGCAAUUGACGUUACCCGCAGAAGAAGCACCGGCUAACUCCGUGCCAGCAGCCGCGGUAAU